AACGAACGCUGGCGGCAGGCCUAACACAUGCAAGUCGAGCGGACAUCUUCGGAUGUUAGCGGCGGACGGGUGAGUAACGCGUGGGAACGUGCCCUUUGCUUCGGAAUAGCCUCGGGAAACUGGGAGUAAUACCGGAUGUACCCUUUGGGGGAAAGAUUUAUCGGCAAAGGAUCGGCCCGCGUUGGAUUAGGUAGUUGGUGUGGUAAUGGCCUACCAAGCCGAAGAUCCAUAGCUGGUUUGAGAGGAUGAUCAGCCACACUGGGACUGAGACACGGCCCAGACUCCUACGGGAGGCAGAAGUGGGGAAUCUUAGACAAUGGGGGAAACCCUGAUCUAGCCAUGCCGCGUGAGCGAUGAAGGCCUUAGGGUUGUAAAGCUCUUUCACCGGGGAAGAUAAUGACGGUACCCGGAGAAGAAGCCCCGGCUAACUCCGUG
rnacentral:rRNA from 1 species